rnacentral:rRNA from 1 species
CUGCGGAAGGAUCAUUAACAUAAUAUUCUUACACACUGUUUUUUUUACAACAAAAAAAAUCUAUCUAAAAACAAUUCUUUACAAGAAAUUCUUAAAACUUUCAACAACGGAUCUCUUGGUUCUCGCAUCGAUGAAGAACGCAGCGAAAUGCGAUACGUAAUACGAAUCGCAGCUCUCGGAAUCAUCGAAUCUUUGAACGCACAUUGCACCAUUGGGUAUUCCCAAUGGUAUGCUUGUUUGAGCGAAUACUUCCCUAAUCCUCACGGAUUGUAUUGUGUUUGCACGAAAAUAAUGACGACAGUACUCUACAAAACGGUACCGUCAGUACACUCAUUUUUUUUCCUCAAAUCAAGUAGGACUACCCGCUGAACUUAAGCAUAUCAAUAAGCGGAGGAAAAGAAACCAACAGGGAUUGCCUCAGUAACGGCGAGUGAAGCGGCAAAAGCUCAAAUUUGAAAUCCCCCCGGGGAGUUGUAAUUUGAAGAUUGCGUCUUGGAGGCGACCGUGUCUAUGUUCCUUGGAACAGGACGUCACAGAGGGUGAGAAUCCCGUGCGGCACGGCCCCCGGCUCCUUAUAAGGCGCUCUCGACGAGUCGAGUUGUUUGGGAAUGCAGCUCAAAGUGGGUGGUAAAUUCCAUCUAAAGCUAAAUACAGGCGAGAGACCGAUAGCGAACAAGUACAGUGAUGGAAAGAUGAAAAGCACUUUGAAAAGAGAGUGAAACAGCACGUGAAAUUGUUGAAAGGGAAGGGCAUGCCGUCAGAUUGUCAGUGUGGGUAAGAAGCGGGGUACAAAGACUGUGGAACGUGGCCCUCGGGUGUUAUAGCCGCAGUUCAUGCCCCGUCUCUUUCCGAGGCCUGCUUUGAGGACACCGACGUAAUGACGGUACGCC